rnacentral:rRNA from 1 species
UUGUCGUCAGCUCGUGUCGUGAGAUGUGGUUAGUCCGCAACGAGCGCAACCCCUACUUGUUAGUUGUCCAUCAUUCAGUUGGGCACUCUAGCGAGACUGCCGGUAAUAAACCGGAGGAAGGUGGGGAUGACGUCAAAUCAUCAUGCCCUUAUGACCUGGGCUACACACGUGCUACAAUGGUUGGUACAACGAGUUGCGAGUCGGUGACGGCGAGCUAAUCUCUUAAAGCCAAUCUCAGUUCGGAUUGUAGGCUGCAACUCGCCUACAUGAAGUCGGAAUCGCUAGUAAUCGCGGAUCAGCACGCCGCGGUGAAUACGUUCCCGGGCCUU